CGACAAGCGGUGGAGUAUGUGGUUUAAUUCGAUGCAACGCGAAGAACCUUACCUGGUCUUGACAUCCCGGAGACCCUUAGGAAACUAGGGGUGCUUCCAUCUGGAAGAAUCUGGAGACAGGUGCUGCAUGGCUGUCGUCAGCUCGUGUCGUGAGAUGUUGGGUUAAGUCCCGCAACGAGCGCAACCCUUGCCUUUAGUUGCCAGCAGUUCGGCUGGGCACUCUAAAGGGACUGCCGGUGUUAAACCGGAGGAAGGUGGGGAUGACGUCAAGUCCUCAUGGCCUUUAUGACCAGGGCUACACACGUACUACAAUGGCCGAUACAAAGGGCAGCGACACUGCGAGGUGAAGCCAAUCCCGUAAAAUCGGUCUCAGUCCGGAUUGGAGUCUGCAACUCGACUCCAUGAAGUUGGAAUCGCUAGUAAUCGUGGAUCAGCAUGCCACGGUGAAUACGUUCCCGGGCCUU
rnacentral:rRNA from 1 species